GCCAGCAUGGUGUAAUGGUUUGCAUGUUGGACUACAACUCUGCAGACCAGGGUUCAAUUCCCAGCUCGGCCA